rnacentral:lncRNA from 1 species
AGAUGAGCAGGCCUUAAAUGCUAAGCUCAGACACUGGGCUUGCUAGGCCAGGAAACCCCCAGCCAAGGAUGGGUUCUAACUGAUUUCUGUGUCCCGAAUAGAGCCUGACACCAGGCGAUUUGCCACGAGAAGGACAUGGCCUGGUGGCUACUGCACCUUCAGCUUCCGCACACAUAAAUACAUAUGGAACACACCGGACCUAGUCUCCAGCCUGGAGCCAUGCCUACAGCAUGGCUGAAGCAUGAAGCAGGGCUAACUGGCCACAUUCAACCUCCAUCAGCUGAAGCACAAUACACCUGCAAACCUAUGAGUCUGAGAAUAAAGGCUUGUUAUUGAAAGCCA